UACGUAGGGGGCAAGCGUUGUCCGGAUUUACUGGGCGUAAAGAGCGUGUAGGCGGCCAAGCAGGUCCGUUGUGAAAACUGGAGGCUUAACCUCCAGACGUCGACGGAAACCGCGUGGCUAGAGUCCGGAAGAGGAGAGUGGAAUUCCUGGUGUAGCGGUGAGAUGCGCAGAUAUCAGGAAGAACACCCGUGGCGAAGGCGGCUCUCUGGGACGGUACUGACGCUGAGACGCGAAAGCGUGGGGAGCGAACAGG
rnacentral:rRNA from 1 species